rnacentral:ncRNA from 1 species
UUCGCUGGGGGAGCCUUCUGGCUGAGAAAUCCACAGGAUUGACCCUUAUUACCUGAUCCGGAUCAUGCCGGCGUAGGGAAGCA